rnacentral:rRNA from 1 species
UCGAAUCCUGCNGAGCAACGACCCGAGAACAUGUUUAUCACACRGGNGNCGGGACGGGGGAAACCACGGACCAUGCCCCGANGCGUSACCACCGGUYGCUGCCGUGNGAACAACCAACCCCGGCAGAAACGCGCCAAGGAAAACAUAAAAAGGAUUGUCUGCCUCCCGUCGUGCCGUAUGCGGUGCUGCACGGGAGGAUCACGGACGCCUAAAGAAACA